rnacentral:rRNA from 1 species
AUAAGCUAAGUAAGGGCGUAUGGAGGAUGCCUAGGCUCUCAGAGACGAAGAAGGACGUGAUAAGCUGCGAAAAGCUACGGGGAUUGGCACAUACGAAUUGAUCCGUAGAUAUCCGAAUGGGGAAACCCGGCAUGUUGAAGACAUGUCACCUAAUUUAUUAGGAGUAAACCCGGAGAACUGAAACAUCUAAGUACCCGGAGGAAGAGAAAACAAUAGUGAUUCCGUAAGUAGCGGCGAGCGAACGCGGAAUAGCCCAAACCAAAGUUGUUACGGCAAUUUUGGGGUUGUAGGACCACAAUAUUUGAUGCUAAGCGAACUAGAACAGUUUGGAAAGACUGACCACAGAGGGUGAUAGUCCCGUAUAGGUAAGCGAAGUAAUUGAUAGUGGUAUCCUGAGUAGUGCGGGACACGAGUAAUCCUGUAUGAAUCGAGCGGGACCAUCCGCUAAGGCUAAAUACUCCUGAGAGACCGAUAGUGAACUAGUACCGUGAGGGAAAGGUGAAAAGAACCCUAAAUAAGGGAGUGAAAUAGAUCCUGAAACCGUACGCCUACAAGCGGUCGGAGCAUGUUUACAUGUGACGGCGUGCCUUUUGCAUAAUGAGCCUACGAGUUACUGUUACUAGCAAGGUUAAAUGUCAUAGACAUGGAGCCGUAGCGAAAGCGAGUCUGAAUAGGGCGACCAUAGUUAGUAGUAGUAGACGCGAAACCGAGUGAUCUACCCAUGGGCAGGUUGAAGCAGUGGUAACACACUGUGGAGGACCGAACCAUUAGACGUUGAAAAGUCUUUGGAUGACCUGUGGGUAGGGGUGAAAGGCCAAUCAAACUCGGAAAUAGCUCGUACUCCCCGAAAUGCAUUUAGGUGCAGCGUUGAUUUAUAGUUUUAUAGAGGUAGAGCUACUGAUUGGAUGCGGGGGCUUCACCGCCUACCAAUUCCUGACAAACUCCGAAUGCUAUAAAAUGUUAAUCAGCAGUGAGGGCAUGGGUGCUAAGGUCCAUGUCCGAGAGGGAAAGAACCCAGACCAUCAGCUAAGGUCCCAAAAUAUAUGUUAAGUUGAAUGAACGAGGUUUGACUGCCUAGACAGCUAGGAUGUUGGCUUGGAAGCAGCCACUCAUUUAAAGAGUGCGUAACAGCUCACUAGUCGAGCGGUCGAGCAUGGAUAAUAAUCGGGCAUAAACAUAUUACCGAAGCUAUGGACUCAUACCACAAGGUAUGAUUGGUAGGGGAGCAUUGUGAUCAGCGUUGAAGGUGUACUGCGAGGUAUGCUGGAGCGGUUACAAAAGAAAAUGUAGGCAUAAGUAACGAUAAGGCAGGUGAGAAACCUGCCCACCGAAAGACUAAGGUUUCCUCAGCGAUGCUAAUCAGCUGAGGGUUAGUCGGGGCCUAAGGCGAACCCGCAAGGGGUAGUCGAUGGACAACGGGUUAAUAUUCCCGUACUUCUUAUAGUUGCGAUGGGGUGACGGAGUAGUGAAAACCUUGCGUACAGACGGAAUUGUACGUUGAACUACAAAGGUAUAAGUUUAAUAGUUAAAUGCGUUAGACUUGCUUAAGUAGGAUAGUACCACAAAGCUUCGGUAGCGUGGAUAAUAGGUGUAAUGACUUCCAAGAAAACCCUCUAAGCUUCAGAUUAUAAGAACCCGUACCCUAAACCGACACAGGUAGUUGGGAUGAGAAUUCUAAGGUGCUCGAGUGAUUCAUGGCUAAGGAACUAGGCAAAAUAGACUCGUAACUUCGGGAGAAGAGUCGCCCCGCUUCGGCGGGGCCGCAGUGAAAAGAUCCAGGCGACUGUUUAUCAAAAACACAGGGCUUUGCGAAAUAGAAAUAUGAAGUAUAAGGCCUGACACCUGCCCGGUGCCGGAAGGUUAAGAGGAGAGCUUAUCUGCUUGCAGAGAAGGUUUGAAUUGAAGCCCCGGUAAACGGCGGCCGUAACUAUAACGGUCCUAAGGUAGCGAAAUUCCUUGUCGGGUAAGUUCCGACCUGCACGAA